rnacentral:snRNA from 1 species
AACCCCCCCAAAAGGGGAUCAUCCGAUAACAUGGGAACGAUACGGAGAAGAUUAGCUUGGCCCCCGCGCCAGGAUGACACGCACAAGUCAAGAAGUGUACCAAGUCGAA